rnacentral:rRNA from 1 species
GAUCCUGGCUCAGAACGAACGCUGGCGGCAGGCUUAACACAUGCAAGUUGAACGGGAUUUGUGUGGUGCUUGCACCAUAUAAUGAGAGUAGCGCACUGGUGAGUAACACGUGGGAACGUGCCUUUUAGUGGGGGAUAACAUCUGGAAACGGAUGCUAAUACCGCAUACGCCCUGAGGGGGAAAGAUUUAUUGCUAAGAGGUCGGCCCGCGGUAGAUUAGGCAGUUGUGGGGUAAAGGCCUACAAACCUACG